GGGAAUGAUGAUUUCACAGACUAGAGUCUCUGACACUGCUGAUGUCAACUAUGAAUCUGACUC
rnacentral:snoRNA from 1 species